rfam:Gossypium hirsutum cultivar TM-1 chromosome 3, whole genome shotgun sequence
ACGACCUUACUUGAACAGGAUCUGUUCUAUAGGCUCGUACCUCUGUGUCCAUAAGUUCAAAGGAGACAGGAUUCUAAGUCUGGUUGAUGAACCACGACUGUGUGAUCUGAGCGUGAUUACUGGUCCGGUGAUGCCCUUGCUGGCUCUCCUCGACCGCAGAGGAUCGUUCUCAGCUUGCCUUGUGCUGCUGGGAAGGUCACACAGUUGUCUGACAGACU